AACGAACGCUGGCGGCGUGCCUAAUACAUGCAAGUCGAGCGGACAGAAGGGAGCUUGCUCCCGGAAGUUAGCGGCGGACGGGUGAGUAACACGUGGGCAACCUACCCUGUAGAUCGGGAUAACAUCGAGAAAUCGGUGCUAAUACCGGAUAAUCAUUUGAAGUGCAUGCUUCGAAUGUAAAAGAUGGCUCCGGCUAUCACUACGGGAUGGGCCCGCGGCGCAUUAGCUAGUUGGUAAGGUAAUGGCUUACCAAGGCAACGAUGCGUAGCCGACCUGAGAGGGUGAGCGGCCACACUGGGACGGAGACACGGCCCAGACUCCUACGGAGGGCAGCAGUAGGGAAUCUUCCGCAAUGGACGAAAGUCUGACGGAGCAACGCCGCGUGAGUGAUGAAGGUUUUCGGAUCGUAAAGCUCUGUUGUUAGGGAAGAACAAGUGCCGUUUGAAUAAGGCGGCACCUUGACGGUACCUAACCAGAAAGCCACGGCUAACUACGUGCCAGCAGCCGCAGUAAAAC
rnacentral:rRNA from 1 species